UUUACUUCCGCUUGCUUAUUACAGAGUCCCGACCAGCCUAAAUAGCAGGUGGCGUGGUCAUUAACUUAAACAUAGAUUAACUGAAUUAAACAGAGUUUAAACAGAAUGAACUGCUAAUUCCUACAUCCUUCUCAUAAGCCGUCGGAUGAGCAUCAAACGAUCCAGGUGAAGUCGCCGAAACGUCUUGAAUAGCGCCGACUACCUUGCAGCUCGACUUGUUCACUUGUCUGACGAAACUGACGAGCUGAAUCAAGGCCUCUGUUGCCUGACAGCCCGCCAGCCGACGCGCAUCAUCCUCCUCCGGCCGGCCGUCGGCGCAGGCGUCCGCUUCCACCUGCCCACUCUCCCCGUCAUCGGUUGUCGUCCGCGCCUCCGCUUCGUCCCGGCUGUCGCCGCCGUCCGCGCCGCCGCUCCCCGUCCGCGCCAUCGCUACUCCGUCCCCGGUCGCCGCACCGUCCGCGCCGCCGCCGCGCUGCCGAUCCGUCCCCGGCCGCCACGCCGCAUCCUCCGCAACCCGACCACUUCAACCCCAUCGUUGUCGCCUCCUCUUCCUCAACGCAGGCACCUCCUCCACCUCGACGCAGGCGUUGCCUCCCAUCCUCGCUCGAACACUCGGCAGAUCAAACAAAGAGAAGAUUGGAGCGCUCGCCAAAUCACGCUGCCUCCCUUGCUCAUCCUCUCUCCUCCCACGAUUGGGAACCCAGGCAACAAAAGGUAGCAAUCCCCUUCACCGACCCCUCAGAAUUUUGUGGGAUUUGAUGUUGAAAUCUAAAUUUGGGCGUAAAAUCAAAAGCCCAUCAAUUAGCCGUAGAUCCGGUUGUGGCUGAGUUUGAGGAACAGUAGCUGCUGGGGCAUCUCCACGCCGGUCAGGUACUUAGAUUGAAGCAGAACUUGCGCCCGGAUAGUCGACGGCCCCGCUCAUGUCUUGGUCCGGGUGAAGAGGAACGACGCGUUCCUCGGUGAGCUUCUUGUUGGCCACCGGGAACUCCAUCCGUCCAGGGCAUGGAGAAAGAAGUUCUGUAUGUUUGAAAAUCUUCUGUCAAAACUCUGUUGUAUGCAUGUUUAUUUAUCUGGCAUCUGUUUAUUUAUCUUGCCAUGUUGUAUGCAUGUUUGGCUUGUGUCCAUAGACCAUAGUACAUAUAGUUGUUCAAUUUUAGAUUGAAACAUGUUUGCCUACAAUUUAGUUUCUAAGUUUUGCUAUUUGAUCCGCAUGCAUCUGCACUGCCUCCAAUCAGAUCGGCUCCAUCCCCCUCUGGUAUUUUUUUAGUUUCCUUAUCAGGUUUUGGCUCAGCAAUUUUUUUUCUUUCUGUUGCAACCGUUGGUUAUGAUGGUAGUCUGAUGUAGGCAUCUAUAUCUUAGGUGUGUACAACUGGAAAUAUUGUUUGUUUGGUGCUCCAAUUGCUGUCCUCAUAUGAUUCUGGUGAUUUCCUUGUGGGUUUUUGUUGAUAGGGGAAGGAUGUUGCCUCCCGAUCGAAUUAAUUUGCUGUCUGUGACAUGCUUAUUAACCAUCAAAUUCAUGCUUAUUAACCAGCAAUUUCAAGUUGAUAGGAAGACAGAAGCUAUGGUAUUGGUGCGCUGGUCUGCUGUGACUUUACUUGCUGCAAGGGUUAUUUUUCCAAAAUACUGAAUAUGACUUAACUAUGACAAGCUGGUUCCAUGGGUUGCUUCAGGUUAACAGCCAUUCACCCGGCAUCGAUGGGGUUUCCAUGUUCCGAGCGAUGGAUGGACCUGUUCCCAGGGAAACGCCCAUCCUCAACAAGCUCUUCACCAGCCUGUUAGCAACCCCUUCUCAACGAUUCACAGAACAGCUUGAUUCAAUUACAGUCGGAGUACACAACCUGAGGGGAAGGGAGGUUAGAGAUCAGCAGAGCAAUCUACUCCCUCCGUUCCUAAAUAAAUACAAUUUUAUGAUUGAACACGCAAACCAAUGGUAGGUGUUAAAUUAUAAAAGUACCAUUUGUAUUUUGGGAUGAGUGGAUGAAGUGUUAGUUGUCUUUUUGGGAAAUCUUUCGAAAA